GCGGCCCCGUCGGGUCCCGUGCUCCGCCCAGUGUGGACGGCGCCGUGGUCGUCGUUGUUCGCGACAGCCUGGACUGGACGGCUCGGUGCGCGCCCGCGGGCGCUUGCGGGAGAUAUCACCUGCGUGCGCACGGAGACGCUGACGAUCAGCCGACCGUGCAGAAGACGGAGUGGGCCACGUGCGUGACCGCCGACGGGGCCGCCGCCCUGAUGCCGAGUGACCGCAGUGCGCCAGGGACAGACACGGGAAAAAUGGCGGCUGCUGCUUCUGCUCUCUUUAAAUUGGCGGGACACGG
rnacentral:lncRNA from 1 species